rnacentral:rRNA from 1 species
CCUACGGGAGGCAGCAGUGAGGAAUAUUGGUCAAUGGACGAGAGUCUGAACCAGCCAAGUAGCGUGAAGGAUGACUGCCCUAUGGGUUGUAAACUUCUUUUAUAAAGGAAUAAAACGAGGCACGUGUGCCUUUUUGCGUGUACUUUAUGAAUAAGGAUCGGCUAACUCCGUGCCAGCAGCCGCGGUAAUACGGAGGUUCCGAGCGUUAUCCGGAUUUAUUGGGUUUAAAGGGAGCGUAGAUGGGUUGUUAAGUCAGUUGUUAAAGUUUGCGGCUCAACCGUAAAAUUGCAAUUGAUACUGGCAGUCUUGAGUACAGUUGAGGUAGGCGGAAUUCGUGGUGUAGCGGUGAAAUGCUUAGAUAUCACGAAGAACCCCGAUUGCGAAGGCAGCUUACUAAACUGUGACUGACAUUGAUGCUCGAAAGUGUGGGUAUCAAACAGGAUUAGAUACCCGGGUAGUC